rnacentral:rRNA from 1 species
GACGAUCCGAGCGAACGUUAUUCGGAAUCACUGGGCUUAAAGGGCGCGUAGGCGGGCCGUGAAGUCAGGGGUGAAAUCCUCCAGCUCAACUGGAGAAGUGCCUCUGAUACUCGCGGCCUCGAGGGAGGUAGGGGCGUGCGGAACUUCCGGUGGAGCGGUGAAAUGCGUAGAUAUCGGAAGGAACACCAGUAGCGAAAGCGGCGCGCUGGACCUCUUCUGACGCUGAGGCGCGAAAGCCAGGGGAGCAAACGGG